UUUUCUAUCACAAGCAACGAGGUAAUACAUUAUAACAACAACGCUGAGCAUAGUGAGUAAAAUGAGUUUGUACAUAAGCAUUGAAGGGAGCAUUAUUAUAGAAGGUCCUCCAUUGAGAGGAUGGAGAAGAUGUAAGAACAAAAUAAUGAUGAUAUCAGCUUUGUAAGAGAACCAGCGCCCAACCAGUCAAGGAAAUGAUUCACCGCGCCUUUAUCCAUUCGAAGGUAAAUCCCAAAUUGGCAGUGAUAUGAAUAGAUCAAUGAAAAGAGGGACCCUUUUUGGCAAUACACACGAGUUCCAUAUCAAAGGCUAUGAAAGGAAAUUAGGGCAAAAAGGCAGUAAGAAAGAAACUGAUUUCUUAGGGUAAAAAAAAGCGAAAAUUGUGUGGCAAAGGUUUAGCUUUCUAAAUUUCAAAUUCAAUCAGCAAUACAGCAUAAGGUGUUGCACUGGCAACAAUAUCUAUAUUUGUUAGUCAAAUGAGGCGAGGGUUAGAGCAUAGUUCAGGUGCAAUAAUAAUUUGAGUAAUGGUUGCUUCAAACAACAAAGGAGGUGCCUUUGAGUAUACUGUGAGCCCAAAUUUUCAAUGUCUAGGGUCUACCAGAAUCAUGAUCUCCACAACUCAAUAAGGAAAGCACAAAACCCCUAAAAGUCUUUGUCUUUGAACUUCGUAGUAUGAAAAGAAAGAGCGGUGAAGCAAAUCAUGUUUCCUAAAAAGGAUCCCAAUGGGGAAUUUGUCCCACUCAUUUAAAGUGAAUGUCAUUUUCUUAUUAGUUCCCGCCUGCAGAAACUAUAGCGAAGUAUUCAAACGGUAAACUGUGAUUAAUCUUUCCCCUUUCAGCCAAUCAACUUUCAAGAAAGUUCUACAUAAUUUUAUUUCCAAACUAUAAACUAAAUAAGUUGCUCAUUUUUUAGUCAAAAUUUUGAUACAUGGUAUUUUGGCCAUCUUUGAUUGGCAUUCCACACGGCUAGCAGAGGAAUUCAGAGUUGGUCACAGUUUCCCAUAGGAGAGAACCCACUAGGAGGGGCAGCGUAAGAGAGGUCUUGGGGUAUGUGUUUCUGAAAAUUGCAAGGCAAUGUCAGGAAUGAAACAGUUUAGAUGCCUUGUCUUUGCUUCCAUAUUUUGCAGACAUGCCUAACAUGCAGGCACAAAGGGUGGAAUUUGGACCUUACGCCAUGUGUAGAAGACUUGUCUCAUAAUAGCACUGCAAAGCCCUUUCUUGCAGCUUUCAACACCACGUAUCAUUUAUGUUGCAACAACUGGAAUGAAUUUCAAAAUCAGCUCCUCAAGAGCGCUUUUUCUGCUUCCAAACUCUUUCAUUAGUCUCAAGACUUACACUUACUGUCGUUUAUCAAAGAGAAAAGCACUUGGUCACUUGUGCAUUAAAUAUCUCAAGAGGAGAGUCUGGUAAAACCGCCCUGCUAUUAUGUGUUGGCUUCAACCAAGAUUUUGGCUGUUUUGCCAUUGCAUAUAGCAGGAUUUUAUGUUUUCCUAACUUUUUCACAUAGUUAGCUAUAGUGUGUUCCUGAGGGGUAAACAUCCAUUUUGGGAUUUGAUGUUUUAACAAAAAAUUAUUUUAUUCUAUUGUAGCACAUGCUAGACGUUGUUUUGGCCUACUUAAAAAAAAUCUGAUUAUCCAUUAUGCUCACAUCUAAAGGGUUUGGUGACCUAUUUUUGUUUUGAAUCUUUUUCUCCAAUUUCUCUCAUUGCACACUCUUUAUCAUUUAUGCUUCGAUGGAUAUCAAUCUCCUAUUCCAGAACUCCCCUUUUGCACUCAAUUUUGUGCAUAUCUUGCAAUCAUUACAGUCCAUGAGAUGACAUCUGUUUCAUGCAUUAUGUCAAACGGUUCAGGUACUUUGUCUAUGAUUCACAUUUUGCAUACAUGUCUACCUCAUUCCCAACUAUAAUAUCUGACCAAAAUCCCCCCACCAUUAUGCUUUGAUGGAUGUAUAUGCCCUCUUCCGAAGUUGCCCUUUUGGCAUAUCCUGCAAUCAUUGCAUUGCAUGAGAUGACGUCGCUUUGAGGUAUUAUGUCAAACAGUCCACAUGCCUUGUCCGUACUUCCACAUUUUGCACACAUGUCUACCAGAGCAAUUCCAAGUAUACAUGACAAAAAUCCACCUUCCAUAUUGCUUUGAUGGAUAUACAUACCCUGUUCCAAAGUUCUCAUUUUAUUGGCUUUAGCAUCCUCGAUGCUAGAAAACAUUGUGGAAUCUGACUUUACACUUGCUAAUUGCAUUUUCUUGGAAGUCUCUAAAGAUUUUUCAACAAGGCCAUUUUGUGCAAAUCUUAUAGUCAUUGCAGUCCUUCAAACCUCUUUCAUGCAUUAUGUCAAACGGUUCAGGUACUUUGUUUGUGAUUCACAUUUUGAAUACAUGUCUACCUCAUUCCCAACUAUAAUAUCUGACCAAAAUUCCCCCACCAUUAUGCUUUGAUGGAUGUAUAUGCCCUCUUCCAAAGCUUCCCUUUUGGCAUAUCCUGCAAUCAUUGCAUUGCAUGAGAUGACAUCGCUUUGAGGCAUUCUGUCAAACAGUCCACAUGCCUUGUCCAUGCUUCCAAAUUUUACACACAUGUCUACCAGAGCAUUUCCAAUUAUACGUGACAAAAAUCCACCUUCCAUAUUGCUUUGAUGGAUAUACAUACCCUGUUCCAAAGCUCUCAUUUUAUCGGAAUUAGCAUUCGCGAUGCUAGAAAACAUUAUGGAAUCUGACUUUACACCUGCUAAUUGCAUUUGCUUGGAAGUCUCUAAAGCUUUUUCAAUAAGUCCGUUUUGUGCAAAUCCUAUAAUCAUUGCAGUCCUUCAAACCACAUUUCUUUCAGGGAUACCGUUGUGCAAAAAAUUUCACCAUUUAAUUAAAAAAAAAAUCUCUUACAUUUCUUUAUAUGUGACUAUCUUAGUUCUAUGAUCACAAGUACCUUCUUAUUUUUAUAUAACUUUGAAUCUAAUAUUUAGGGCUAAUGAGCAUUUCAAGAUCAAGAUUUCUAGUUGAAAUUUCCAAAAUAUCAAUUUUUAUGUACUACAUUAGGAUGUUGCGUUUGUGCUUGGAAAAAAAAAGUAUCAGUCUAAAGCUGAUCACCUGUAGGUAUAAUGCAAUAAAAUUACUAAUGCGAUUGAGGUAAUUACAGCCCUCGUCGACUAUACCUGUAUUACUACAUGCACCUAUAACACAAACAAAGAUUACAAUGUUUGGAUAUGUUCCAGAGUGCAUCCUUAGUUCAAAUAUUUUGAGAGCUUCCUUACGAAAUUAAUUUUGUGCAUAUCCUACAAUCAUUACAUUCCAUGAGAUGACAUCUCUUUGAUGCUUUCUGUCAAACAGUUCAAGUACUAUGUACAUAAUAAUGAUACAUGUUCUGUUCCUCAACAUGCAAAUGGCUAGGAAGAAAUAUUUCACGACAUCAGUGUUAUUUACACUAAUAAUUUGGCUUAAUGUUUUUCCAAUUGCAAUUAUCACAAUAUUGUUUUGUUUCUACUUUCAACAGGUAACAAGAAUCUUCUUCAGACACAACUCCAGGUUCUUGAAGACAGAAGCUUAAAACAGUCAAAAACAGUCUACAAAAGAAAUUGAGUCAGAAAAGGCAAAGAAAUUGAGUCAAAAAAGGCAAAUGAAAUUAAACAGUUCAUUACCACUAUACUAGUUUUGUACAUAGUUAACUGGUUAACUGGCAAACAAUGUUCAGGACAAGUACUUUCAGUUUAAAUUCCAUGUAAAUCAAUGAACAAUGGUUAAGAACUAUAUGUCAAUAUAUUUCCAUAUUUUCUCCUUUU